AUUCUAGACCCCAAAGUGGCACUCACGGGUCACUUGAACAGAGAGUUUCCUGCAAGAUUUCAUGAUGGACUGUGCCCCUAGGCCACCAGAAUGUGAAAUAUAAUGGCCUCCAUUUCAACUGAGUGAGUCAAACAAAGAAGGAAUCUUGCGACGGGGAAAGUAAGGCACAGAGAAGUGGAAAACUGUCUAAUGGAAUGGAGUAAGGAGAAGGCAAAGUAGGAUUCCAUUCCAAGUAGGAUUCCAUUCCAAGCAAGCUGCUAUAAGAGCUGGUGCUACUGACCACAGUGCUCAAUUGCUCUUCAUAAGAUCCCAUGCUACAAACACUAGAGAAAAAAAUCCCCUGGGAAUAGUCUGUCUAUUCCUCCAUAAAUUUAGUAUCCAAUCAGG
rnacentral:lncRNA from 1 species